UGUGCCCUGUUAAUACAGACUGUUAGAAUAUGAUGUAGGUACUGAUAUAUUGUAUAAAUUUACAGGUACAGGGGACAAUAAAAACUGAUAUACAUGAUUCUACUGAUAUAUUCACAGGUACAGGGGACAAUAAAAACUGAUAUACAUACAAACUGCAGAAUAGGUAUGGCCUAAAGUUUCAUGAUAUAAAUUUACAGGUACAGGGGACAAUAAAAACUGAUAUACAUGAUUCUACUGAUAUAUUCACAGGUACAGGGGACAAUAAAAACUGAUAUACAUACAAACUGUACAUGAUUCUACUGAUAUAUUCACAGGUACAGGGGACAAUAAAAACUGAUAUACAUACAAACUGCAGAAUAGAGACAAUGUUGCGUACUAACCUGCAAAUUUAUUUAGAAGUAAAAACACAUACCUCUUCAUCGUCAUGGUUUUUGAAGGUGGAUAAUUGACUCGCCAAGAUGUACAUUCCCAUGGUUGAUCGAAGGAAUAUGGAAAUCAAUCGCAAAAUGCUAUCAAUGGAUUUAAAUGUUAAACUGUUCUCGAAGGAAUAUGUAUAUGUGUAUUGUAAUAUAUAAUAAAUUGAAUCCCUUACAAUUUUGAAUCUCCCAGAGUCUUAGACUCACAAUAAUUCCAUUUUA